CGGAGGACCGAAGUUGGGGUCCCCGGCAGGAGCGGACGCGGGCAGAAGCAGGCAGUGGCACUGUCUAUCCAACGCGCCACAGAGUGGCCAUGGGGACUCUUCUCUGGUGAAAAUGAAGAUGGUGUGGGCCCAGCAGCUUGUCAGUGAUUGAUGGUUUAUAGCUCUGUCAACGUUUUCUUCCCACUGGGUUCAACUUAACACAAGAGAGAAUUGGAAGCCAGGCUCAGCUAGAAGAUCUAUCUCAGGCUGGAGAGAUGGUUCAGCGGUUAAGAGCAUCGAGUGAUCUUCCAGAGGUCCUGAGUUCAAUUCCCAGCAACCACAUGGUGGCUCACAAUCAUCUGUAAAAGGAUCUGAUGCCCUCUUCUGGUGUGUCUGAAAACAGCUACAGUGUAUUCAUAUAAAUAAAUGAAUCUUUUUAAAAAAAUCUA
rnacentral:lncRNA from 1 species